rnacentral:lncRNA from 1 species
UGACGCGACUAAUGAUAGGGCCUUUCUUUCUCCCAUGGCUGAAUACACAGGAAGAGCGUUGUUUCUCGCCUUUGUGAGCACGACUGUCCAGGACCUUAAGCUCUUUAUAAUUUCAAGUGCCAGAAAGUUAUUGUUCUAUGCUUUGUGAAAGUCACGAGCUUCUACAUGUUCUGUAUACACUAGUGUAGACUUCUUUCUUUUCCAGGCCUUCACAUUCAGUCAUUUGGGUUCACCAAGUCAAGUAUACAUCCUUGGUGCCUAUACAACAGCUAACACACUGGCUUGUCUAGAAAAAGCCAGGAGCUGCUCUCUGCACAAACUACUUUGCUAUUUGAAUCUGUCAUAAAAUUAUAUCUAACACACACAACCUAUGAUUAUAUUGCAUACUUGCUUCUUCUAAAGGAAAAAAAAACUAUCUUAUUGAGAGGUAUAAUUAAUGGGCAAACAGCCCACAUGUUUUGAUAUACAGCUCUUAGUGAGUUCAAGUGCUCACCCGAGAAAUACCCAGCAUUGUGAAGAUCACAAACAUUUAUGCUCCUAAGUUUCCUUUGCUUGGCUGUACGUUUGUUGUAGGUCUAUAGUAAGAACACUUGUAUGGCUCAUUUUAAGUAGCUAAUACUGUCAGCUAUAGUACUAUGUAGAAUGGUAAAUCACUCAACUUUCUUUUUCCAAUCUAACUGAAGUUCUGUGCCUUGAAACAUCACACUUCUUCCUUCUAUGGUGGCUACUGUUCGAGGUUUAAUUUCUAUGAGUUCAGUAUUUUUUUUUUUUAGAUGAUACAUGUCAGAUAAUAUGGUAUGUAUUUUUCUGUACCUGGAUUAUGUUAUUUAGCAUCAAGAACUUGGUAUCCAUUCAUGUUGCCAUAAAUGGUAAAAAAUUUCAAAACUGAUUAAUAUUCCAUUAUAUGGACAUACCACAGUAUUUUCAUCCUUUUGAUGAAUCAUUAGAUUGUUUCCAUAUCUUGGCUAUGGUGGCUAGUGUUAAAUGAACAUGGAAGUACAAAUGUCUCUUCAAGACACCCGUCUCUUUUCUGUUCUAAACAUGCCCCAAAUUCAGGUCACCGUACAGCUCAUUGUUUUUAAUCUUUUGGUAUCAUUGUCCCUAACAACAGUAACAACUCACACAGAUGUAGCUCCCUUCUUGUACUUCCCUGCCAGCACUUGUCUCUUAUCUUUUAAAUUACAGUUUUCCUAAGAGGUGUGAGAGGCUAUCUCACUAUAUUUUUGCUUGUAGCCAUCUGGUAAUGAUUAACCUUGGAUAAUAAUAAUACUGUUUCAUAUGUCUGGUAGCUUUUUUCUUUUUUGAUGAAAUGUCUAUUUAGUUACUUUCUUGAUUUUCCAAGACAGGUGUCUCUGUCUCUUUCUCUCCUUUUCUCCCUCUCUCCCUUUUAAGUAAUAUAAGUUCCUUAAGUUGCAGCUAACCAAAGACAGAGAAAUUUUAUCGUAAAUUUUCUUGGACUUUUGUGGCUUCAGGUCUUAUGUUUAAGUUUUUAAUCCAUGCUAAGUUUUGUGUGUGGUAGGAACACUUGUUUUUAUUCGUUUGCAUGUGUAUACUCUGUGUUGCUCUGCUAUGAACUAAAGUACCAUCCUCCCCCCCCCCCCCAAGCCCCCGGGCAUUCCUGGUACGCCUGCUGAAAGUGAGUUGUUUAGUAAGUUACAGGUUUAUUUCUGGGCUCUCCAUUCUAUUCCACUUACAUAUGUCUUGUAAUAUAAUUUGGAAUCAGUGAGUAUAAAACUUAAAUUUAGUUCUAUUCUUUUUGUCCAAGGUUGAUGUCACUACACAGGCCUUCCAUAUGAAUCUGAGGAUUGACCUUCUAGUGAUGUGAGAAAAGGCCAUUCAAUUUUUAUAGGGGUUGCAUUCAACUUUUAGACUGUCUUUGAGUAAUGUGAACAUUUUUUUCCUGCAAUAAUGAAACCUCCAAGAUGACGGAGUUAUGGAGAAGUGUAUUCGGGGGUCCUUAUUUUUAAGAUAUUAAUCUAAUAUCAAUUGGCUCCACUGCUCUGGGCCUAUACCAAGCAGUACGUUGUGGCAGGAGUAUAUGGUGGAAUGAAACUGCUCAUGCCAAGAGCCCAAGAGCAAAAGAACCGAAAAGGAACCAGUGUCCACAGAAUCCCCUUCAAGGGUCUUCCACCCAUAAGGCCUCACUUCACAGAGGUUCAGCCACCUCCCAGUGAUACCCUGAAAUCCAAGCCUUCAACACACAGGCCUUUGGGGAAAUUCAAGGUUCAAACUGUAAUGAGUACUGUAGUUUUUUUUAAAAAAUGAUUUAUUUAUCUUAUGUAUGAGUACACUCUCGCUGUCUUCAGACACUAGAAGAGGGCAUGGGAUCCCAUUACAGAUGGUUGUGAGCUACCAUGUAGUUGUUGAGAAUUUGAACUCAGGACCUCUGGAAGAGCAGUCAGUGCUCUUAACUGCUGAGCCAUCUCUCUAGCCCGUAGUAUAGGUAUUUUAAUAGUUUUCAUUUUCCCCAACUAUGACCAUGGUCCAUUCUUUUUAGUCUAGUUUAAUGGCCUUCAUCAGUGUUUUUAUAAUUCACGGUGUACACAUACAUGCCAUAUAAACACACAGUGCUCACAUCGUCUACCUACCUGUCAUAUAAACAAAACCAUUCUGCCUUCCCCUGCUUCCCGCCUGCCUCCUCCGCUUCCACACCACAACCACACAGAAGAGUCCUGCAAGCUCAGAAGGUGUGAGUACUUCUCCCUUUCAGAAAGCACCAGUGGUAGCAAACGACAGACUGGCGAAGUGUCCUCUGACCCAGUUCAGAUCUGACACUCUCUGCCUUGAAGGAAGAGGCCACGCUAUAGAUGGAAGGCUCAGCUCCUCCCAUAGCAGAUGCCAAUCACAAGCCCCUGGCUGUUGCAUUUCUGUUUCUGACUGGCAAUGAAUCGUGGUACCCAUAAGCCCUUUGGCUUUGAUUCAUUUGCUUGAGGGACUCCGAGAAUUCAUGGAAGCACUUCCUCAUGGGGCUUAGGUACAGAGCUUGCAUGGGCUCUUCAGGUGCCCCUCCACCCUCCAGGAACCUUCCUGAGGUCAGCUGUCUGGAAGCUUCCCCAAUCCAGUACCUUGAGGUUUCAUAUGGAGAUGUCACUGAGCAGACUGGGUGGGCCCUGCUGUGCCCCAUUCCUUCCACUGGGCAUGCAUCUUUGGAAUGAGGACAGUGACCAUACAAGGCUUGGUCACAGCCAUUCUUUAUGACCAACUGCAAUAUAAAGGACAGGGGGGAAAUUAGAGUUUCUUUGCCUUCCCUUGGGGAAGAAAAAUCCUACCCGAUUGGAGAGGGUCCGUUACAAGCCUGUGUGGGUAGGGACAUUGUUUGUAGAUAGCAUAAAAUUAGACUUUUUUUUUCACCCAUUCAGUAAAUUUCUUGAACCAAAUUAAUUAUGGAUGCAUAAGGCCUACCUACUUCUACUUUGCUGCUACCUCCCUAGUGUUCCGUAAUUUGUUGUUGUUGUUGUUGUCUUUUGGGUUGGUGGAUACCAGGAGUCUGUUUUAUCUGCCCAGUUAAUCAAAAUGAUUAG